rnacentral:rRNA from 1 species
UGGCUCAGGACGAACGCUGGCGGCGUGCUUAACACAUGCAAGUCGAACGAUGAAGCCCUUCGGGGUGGAUUAGUGGCGAACGGGUGAGUAACACGUGGGCAAUCUGCCCUUCACUCUGGGACAAGCCCUGGAAACGGGGUCUAAUACCGGAUAACACUCUGUCCCGCAUGGGACGGGGUUAAAAGCUCCGGCGGUGAAGGAUGAGCCCGCGGCCUAUCAGCUUGUUGGUGGGGUGAUGGCCUACCAAGGCGACGACGGGUAGCCGGCCUGAGAGGGCGACCGGCCACACUGGGACUGAGACACGGCCCAGACUCCUACGGGAGGCAGCAGUGGGGAAUAUUGCACAAUGGGCGAAAGCCUGAUGCAGCGACGCCGCGUGAGGGAUGACGGCCUUCGGGUUGUAAACCUCUUUCAGCAGGGAAGAAGCGAAAGUGACGGUACCUGCAGAAGAAGCGCCGGCUAACUACGUGCCAGCAG